GGGCCAGACUCCUACGGGAGGCAGCAGUGAGGAAUAUUGGUCAAUGGGCGGGAGCCUGAACCAGCCAAGUCGCGUGAGGGAAGACGGUCCUACGGAUUGUAAACCUCUUUUGCCGGGGAGCAACGGGGUCCUUGCGAGGGCCCAAUGAGAGUACCCGGAGAAAAAGCAUCGGCUAACUCCGUGCCAGCAGCCGCGGUAAUACGGAGGAUGCGAGCGUUAUCCGGAUUUAUUGGGUUUAAAGGGUGCGUAGGCGGGAGAUCAAGUCAGCGGUAAAAAGGCGGGGCCCAACCCCGUCGAGCCGUUGAAACUGGUUUUCUUGAGUGGGCGAGAGGUAUGCGGAAUGCGUGGUGUAGCGGUGAAAUGCAUAGAUAUCACGCAGAACCCCGAUUGCGAAGGCAGCAUACCGGCGCCCAACUGACGCUGAGGCACGAAAGCGUGGGUAUCGAACAGGAUUAGAUACCCUUGUA
rnacentral:rRNA from 1 species